ACAGAAAAACUCUUGAACAGAGACAACUUCCCCUGUUGAGUUCUUCUGGGGCAGAAUCCCUCACCUCAGGCCAGCCAACCCCAAAGCAGAAGUCCAAGGAAGACCUCUGAUGGCCUCUAUGGAGGAAGAAGAAAUAGAUCGUUCCUAGAAAUUUUGAGUGACAGAGGUAUCAUCACUCUUAUUCCACUUUCAAGUCUAGCCAUUCAUCUUGAACCUCAGAUCUCAUCAGGAAAAUUACAACGAUGAGAGCUCUUUUACAGAGAGGGUGAAAAAUGCUAGCAACAAAAUCAUGUGAGAUGUCAUGAAUAGCAGGUUUGAAAAUGCCCGGAAGAUGUUCCUCUUUCUCUUUUUUUCCUCCCGGAUCCCAGCCUGAAUAAACACCUGAUGUUAUCCCGGAGGGAAAAGCAGCCCUUUGGUCUUUUAUCUUGGUCGUGAAGGACCCCCCAUCCCUCCACUCAACAGAGCU